AGGUUUGCGCAGUGGCAGGAUUGUACCUUAUGAGGUUUAACUGAAGCGCGAUUAUUGCUUAUUGAAAAUUUUAGCCAUUACCUGGCUGUGGUGACUUGCAAUGAAGUCAAUCAUAACAAUUUUUGAUGGUUUCUGUGGAGA